GUAGGUGGCAAGCGUUGUCCGGAAUUAUUGGGCGUAAAGCGCGCGCAGGUGGUUCUUUAAGUCUGAUGUGAAAGCCCCCGGGCUCAACCGGGGAGGGUCAUUGGAAACUGGGGAACUUGAGUGCAGGAGAGGAAAGUGGAAUUCCACGUGUAGCGGUGAAAUGCGUAGAUAUGUGGAGGAACACCAGUGGCGAAGGCGACUUUCUGGCCUGUAACUGACACUGAGGCGCGAAAGCGUGGGGAGCAAACAGGAUUAGAUACCCUGGUAGUCCACGCCGUAAACGAUGAGUGCUAAGUGUUGGGGGGUUUCCGCCCCUCAGUGCUGCAGCUAACGCAUUAAGCACUCCGCCCGGGGAGUACGGUCGCAAAGACUGA
rnacentral:rRNA from 1 species